CUAAAAACAUGUUUGCAGUUUCCUUGGACAUGCCUUCAUGGUUGAAACCGGUAAGCUGUGGCCGACGACGAGGAACGACAGAUACGGCUACUGCCUUUGGUCAGUCCUAUUCGGACACUUGAUCAAAAUCCGGACCGGACCAAGCGUUUGUCGGUCUGAAUCUUCAGAAUUGGACCGGCCAGUUUUUCCUCGGGCUAGGACUGUGCGGGCAAAGACCCAACGGUCCACGAGCGGGUUGAAAAGCCCGCUCUCAGCGUCUACCCUGACCGACCAACGCCUCGUAGCAUCCCUCGUUGCAGGGGCUUGAUGUUGAUCAACCCCAAUGGAGUGAUGGACUGAGUUGUAGCAUACCUUCAGGAUCUUCUGAGCAUUCACGUUCUCAUCGUGGUGCUCGAUCAAGACCAUCAAGGUACAUGUGUUCAAGUCUAUAAAGGACUUGAAAUUCAACUUGUUUGUAUUACAGCAGCUAUUGGACAAAAGCAGACUGCAGCAUUGGUCUGGAUUUGGUCUUCUCCAAAAUCUCACAAUUGCUAAAUUUGGAGAAGGUGAAGGAUACGAUGCCAAAAUUUUGAAGUUGUGAAGACGUGUUAUCUCCGAGGAAAGAUAUAUAUAGAGAGAGAUGUACAUAUCACAUCACAGUGGCACAGAGAUCCGUCAUUUUUCAUGCAUAUAUCUCCUUGUCAUGCAUAUAUCCCCUCGUUUCUCGUGCGUACAUCGUCUUGUCAUGCAUAUAUAUCACUAGUGGAGAAAGGGGUAUUAGAACCGGUUGGUAAGGGCCUUUGGACCCGGAUACACAUCCGGUGCUACGUAUCCGGGACUAAAGGCCCCCCACUUUAGCACCGGUCUCUUACAAACCGGNGAGAGAGAGAGAGCGCUCCCACAUUUUUCAUGCUUAUAUCUCCUUGUAAUGCAUAUAUCCCCUCAUUUCUCAUGCGCACAACUUCUUUUCAUUUACAUAUGUGAUCUGCAUGAGUCUCCGAUACCGUAUGGUAUGGCCGGCCGGUGUG
rnacentral:lncRNA from 1 species